AAAUAUAUUUUCUCAUGUUAAACCUUUGUUACUUUUUUUAUUAUUUAGAAAAG
rnacentral:misc_RNA from 1 species